GACGAACGCUGGCGGCGUGCUUAACACAUGCAAGUCGAACGGAAAGGCCCUGCUUUUGUGGGGUGCUCGAGUGGCGAACGGGUGAGUAACACGUGAGUAACCUGCCCUUGACUUUGGGAUAACUUCAGGAAACUGGGGCUAAUACCGGAUAGGAGCUCCUGCUGCAUGGUGGGGGUUGGAAAGUUUCGGCGGUUGGGGAUGGACUCGCGGCGUAUCAGCUUGUUGGUGGGGUAGUGGCUUACCAAGGCUUUGACGGGUAGCCGGCCUGAGAGGGUGACCGGCCCCAUUGGGACUGAGAUACGGCCCAGACUCCUACGGGAGGCAGCAGUGGGGAAUAUUGCACAAUGGGCGGAAGCCUGAUGCAGCAACGCCGCGUGCGGGAUGACGGCCUUCGGGUUGUAAACCGCUUUCGCCUGUGACGAAGCGUGAGUGACGGUAAUGGGUAAAGAAGCACCGGCUAACUACGUG
rnacentral:rRNA from 1 species